AGGCGGAUAGCUCAGGGGUAGAGCACCGUGUUUACACCGCGGUGGUCGCAGGUUCAAAUCCUGUUCCGCCUACCC
rnacentral:tRNA from 1 species